AUGCGGCUCCUCUCCCUGGCCCUGUGCGUGGGCCUGGCGACAGCGUUGCCGACCUAUCAGGACGCCAUCAGUCAUCCAGCGCCACCGCCGGUCCUCGUCUCUGGCAGUCUGGGCGGCCAGCUCAGCCAGCCAGCCAGCCAAGACCAUGCAGGGCAGGACUCCGACGGCUGCCAGGCGUGUGCCGGCAAUGGCGUGGGCGUUCAGCUGGAUGUCGGUGUGCCGUCCGUCCUUCUCGCCUCCGGCGGAGGUGUUCUCUCAGGAGACGGUGAGGGCGGCCUCGCCUCCAUCGGAGGUGUUCCCUCAGUAGGAAGCGGGAUCGACAUCUCAGCGCAGGUCGGCGACGGCAGGGUCGUGACCCACCAGAGCAGCUCGUCAAGCAGACAGUUCUCGCAGUCGUCACACUCCUCCCAGACGUCCUACUUUGUCAGCUCGGGGGGCGAUGACAUCAUCGAGAUCGUGGUAGCGCAGGCCGCCGACUACGGCCUGGAGGCGUGUGCUGCGGACCUAACCGAGUCGGCCAAAAUCAUUGUCGAGGAGAGCGGUGAAAAGGGUGAAAAGGAGGCCGUUGCUGCAAGAACAUGGAGCCGCUUCAUCUUCGGCUGCUGGUGGUGGAGCUGCCUCGUCUGCCGCUGUGGUGGCUUAGAACUUGGAGCUGCCUCGUCCUCGGCUGCUGGUGGUGGCGCUGCUUCGUCUUCGGCUGCUGGUGGCGGAGCAGCUUCGUCUGCUGCUGCUGGCGGUGCAGGACAGGGAGCCUCUUCUUCUUCAGCUGCCGCUGGUGGAGCUGCCUCAGCCGCUUCCAGCGGUGGGGCAUCGUCAUCCACCUCCGUCAGUGGCGGGGAGAUCUCAGUCAUCGAAGACACUCACGAGGAGAUCAUUCAGGACUGCAUCUGCGUGCCGUACUAUCUUUGCAAGGGAGGUGACAUUAUCACGGACGGCGCUGGUCUGAUUGACAUCCGCUUCGGCCCCGCAGAAGGGGAAGGCCCGAAGUCCAACUCGCAGUGCAAGAGCUUCCUGGAUGUUUGCUGUAAGGUCCCACAGUCCAAACCACUGCCCGAAAUUGUGGAAGAGCUAACGGAGGAGGAGUACGUGCCUUCUUGCGGCCACAGAAAUCCGGAGGGCAUUCAUGUGUCUCUGGAGGGCUUUAAGGAGAGUGAGUCCCAGUUUGGAGAGUUCCCGUGGAUGGCGAUUAUUCUGGAGGAGCAGCGUCAGGGCGGUAAACGUCUGGAGAAAUACCUGUGCGGCGGCUCUCUGAUAGCUGAUGACGUCAUUCUGACUGCUGGCCACUGCGUGAACGAUAAGCGAGCUGGCAGUAUCGUAGUCCGUCUCGGCGACUGGGACACCAAGCGCGAGACGGAGAUCUUCCCGCACGAGCAGUUCCACGUCAAACACAUCGAGGUGCAUGAGGAUCUCAACCCGCGCACGCUCUUCAACGACGUAGCGCUGCUGUUCCUGGACGGCAAGGUGACUCUACAGCCGCACAUCGACACCAUCUGCCUGCCGGAGCCGGACGAGGACUUCGACUACGCGCAUUGCGUGGCGACGGGCUUCGGCCGCGACAAGUUCGAGGGCGGCACCUACCAGAACAUCAUGAAGCAGGUCGACCUGAACAUCGUACCGCACGAUGCGUGCCAGACGAAGCUGCGCACGACGCGGCUCGGCCGCUGGUUCAAGCUGCACGACUCGUUUACGUGCGCCGGCGGCGAGCCGGGCGUCGACACGUGCAAGGGCGACGGCGGCUCGCCGCUGGUCUGUCCCAGCAAAACGGAUCCCAACAAGUAGUCCAGGCGGGCAUCGUGGCCUGGGGCAUCGGCUGCGGCGAGGGUGGCGUGCCGGGCGUGUACGCCAGCGUGCCGAAGCUGCUGACUUGGGUGCAGGAGAAGCUGGCGGCGUUCCCAGCCAGUGGUCUGCCUGACAGGCUGCAGCAGCAGCAUCAGCCAGUGCCCGUGCAGGUAGUCCAGACGCCGGUGCAAGUGUCCCUGCCACCGCCACCGCCACCGCACACGCUGGUGUCCACCGGCUAUUAGAGCGGGAAGAACACCACAGCGGGCGAUACGAUCGGAGAUUGCAAGAGCUGAGACAGCCAUGGCGGUGCUAAAGCGAGCAGGUGGAAAACGGCGACAACGAAGCAGUGGGGCAUGGAAAAUAAUCGACAAACGUCUCACACUAGAUAACUAAAAAUCUUAAGAAAAUGGAAGGCGAAAGGGCGAUCAGACACGGACGAUCUGUUGCAAGCUGCAAUUUCACCGGAGAAACUGAGCCUUAAUUACUCAUUUCGGCUAUCGUGGUAACAGACGACCCAUGUUCAGGGUGGUCUGAAAAGUUUUACCUUGGUCUUCCCCGCUCGUGUUAGGUAACGAGUUGAAUAAAGCGCGUUUUGUCGUA